rnacentral:rRNA from 1 species
CCUACGGGCGGCAGCAGUGAGGAAUAUUGGUCAAUGGGCGCGAGCCUGAACCAGCCAAGUCGCGUGAGGGAAGACGGUCCUAUGGAUUGUAAACCUCUUUUGUCGGGGAGCAAAAGACGCCACGCGUGGCGUUCCGAGAGUACCCGAAGAAAAAGCAUCGGCUAACUCCGUGCCAGCAGCCGCGGUAAUACGGAGGAUGCGAGCGUUAUCCGGAUUUAUUGGGUUUAAAGGGGGCGCAGGGGGAAGAUAAAGUGAGCGGUAAAAGUGAUAGGCUCAACCUCUUCGUGCCGUUGAAACUGGUUUUCUUGAGUGGGGGAGAAGUAUGCGGAAUGCGUGGUGUAGCGGUGAAAUGCAUAGAUAUCACGCAGAACUCCGAUUGCGAAGGCAGCAUACCGGCGCUCAACUGACGCUCAUGCACGAAAGUGUGGGUAUCGAACAGGAUUAGAUACCCGAGUAGUC